rnacentral:misc_RNA from 1 species
AAGUCGUAACAAGGUUUCCGUAGGUGAACCUGCGGAAGGAUCAUUACAGUGAGGUCACGACUGCAAAGGAGUGACCGACACCCACCCAACCCUGUGCUGUGUAUGCUGUUGUUGGGCUAUUCUACGGGGUAGCCCGCACGUUUACUAUACUCUGUCCACAACAACCCUCUUAACUCUUGUGGGGGGGGGUAACCCCUCACACAAACCGACAAAACUGCCAGCAAUGGAUCACUCGGUUCUC